GAUGAACGCUGGCGGCGUGCCUAAUACAUGCAAGUCGAACGGGAUCCUGGCUUCGGCCGGGUGAGAGUGGCGGACGGGUGAGUAACGCGUAGGAAUCUGCCCACGGGUGGGGACAACAUGGGGAAACUCAUGCUAAUACCGCAUACGCCCUGAGGGGGAAAGCGGGGGACCUUCGGGCCUCGCGCCGGUGGAUGAGCCUACGUCGGAUUAGCUAGUUGGUGGGGUAAGGGCCCACCAAGGCGACGAUCCGUAGCUGGUCUGAGAGGAUGAUCAGCCACACUGGGACUGAGACACGGCCCAGACUCCUACGGGAGGCAGCAGUGGGGAAUAUUGGACAAUGGGCGCAAGCCUGAUCCAGCAAUGCCGCGUGUGUGAAGAAGGCCUGCGGGUUGUAAAGCACUUUAAGCAGGGAGGACGGGUUGCGGGGUUAAUACCCUUGUGACUUGACGUUACCUGCAGAAUAAGCACCGGCUAACUUCGUGCCAGCAGCCGCG
rnacentral:rRNA from 1 species